GCCAGGUGCAGUGGCAUGUGGCUGUAGUCCCAAGCUACUAAGGAGGCUGAAGCAGGAGGACCACUUGAGCCCAAGAAUUGUGGGCUGUAGUGUGUUAUGCUGAUUAGGAAUCCACACCAAGUAUGGCACCAACAUGGUGACCUUCCAGAAGUGGAAGACCAACAGGUUGCCUAAGAGGCGAAUCAGCCUAGGUCAAAACCCCUGUGCUGAUCAGUAGUGGGAAUGCAACUGUGAACAGCCUCUACACUCCAGCCUUGGGGAAAAAAAAGUUUCA
rnacentral:SRP_RNA from 1 species